UACGUAGGGUGCAAGCGUUGUCCGGAAUUAUUGGGCGUAAAGAGCUCGUAGGCGGUCUGUCGCGUCUGCUGUGAAAACUCAGGGCUUAACCCUGAGCUUGCAGUGGGUACGGGCAGACUAGAGUGCGGUAGGGGAGACUGGAAUUCCUGGUGUAGCGGUGAAAUUCGUAGAUAUCAGGAGGAACACCGGUGGCGAAGGCGGGUCUCUGGGCAACAACUGACGCUGAGGAGCGAAAGCGUGGGGAGCGAACAGG
rnacentral:rRNA from 1 species